AGGGAAUCUUCCGCAAUGGACGAAAGUCUGACGGAGCAACGCCGCGUGAGUGAAGAAGGCCUUCGGGUCGUAAAACUCUGUUGCCGGGGAAGAACAAGUGCCGUUCGAACAGGGCGGCGCCUUGACGGUACCCGGCCAGAAAGCCACGGCUAACUACGUGCCAGCAGCCGCGGUAAUACGUAGGUGGCAAGCGUUGUCCGGAAUUAUUGGGCGUAAAGCGCGCGCAGGCGGCUUCUUAAGUUGGAUGUGAAAUCUUGCGGCUCAACCGAAAGCGGUCAUUGGAAACUGGGAGGCUUGAGUGCAGAAGAGGAGAGUGGAAUUCCACGUGUAGCGGUGAAAUGCGUAGAGAUGUGGAGGAACACCAGUGGCGAAGGCGACUCUCUGGGCUGUAACUGACGCUGAGGCGCGAAAGCGUGGGGAGCAAAC
rnacentral:rRNA from 1 species